CGGUACGUACUGGCAUUGUUGGUUUCUCCCUUCUGACGAACCAUGAUGUCAUUUAUUUGGUGUUGUGGGGAAUCAGGACUGUUACUUUGAAAAAAUUAGAGUGUUUAAAGCAGGCUCACGCUUGAAUACAUUAGCAUGGAAUAAUGAAAUAGGACGUUUGAUUCUAUUUUGUUGGUUUCUAGGAUCAACGUAAUGAUUAAUAGGGAUAGUUGGGGGCAUUAGUAUUCAAUUGUCAGAGGUGAAAUUCUUGGAUUUAUUGAAGACUAACUACUGCGAAAGCAUUUGCCAAGGAUGUUUUCAUUAAUCAAGAACGAAAGUUAGGGGAUCGAAGACGAUCAGAUACCGUCGUAGUCUUAACCAUAAACUAUGCCGACUAGGGAUCGGAUGAUGUUAAUUUUUUAAUGACUCAUUCGGCGCCUUACG
rnacentral:rRNA from 1 species